rnacentral:rRNA from 1 species
AGCGAACGCUGGCGGCAGGCUUAACACAUGCAAGUCGAGCGGGCAUCCUUGUGGUGUCAGCGGCAGACGGGUGAGUAACGCGUGGGAACGUGCCCUUCGGUUCGGAAUAACUCAGGGAAACUUGAGCUAAUACCGGAUACGAGCGAGAGCAGAAAGGUUUAUCUGCCGAAGGAUCGGCCCGCGUCUGAUUAGCUAGUUGGUGAGGUUAUGGCUCACCAAGGCGACGAUCAGUAGCUGGUCUGAGAGGAUGAUCAGCCACACUGGGACUGAGACACGGCCCAGACUCCUACGGGAGGCAGCAGUGGGGAAUAUUGGACAAUGGGGGCAACCCUGAUCCAGCCAUGCCGCGUGAGUGAUGACGGCCUUAGGGUUGUAAAGCUCUUUUCUCCGGGACGAUAAUGACGGUACCGGAGGAAUAAGCCCCGGCUAACUUCGUG